rnacentral:rRNA from 1 species
UACAGAGGGUGCGAGCGUUAAUCGGAAUUACUGGGCGUAAAGCGUGCGUAGACGGUUAUUUAAGUCGGAUGUGAAAGCCCCGGGCUCAACCUGGGAAUUGCAUUCGAGACUGAAUAGCUAGGGUGCGGUAGAGGGAAGCGGAAUUUCCGGUGUAGCGGUGAAAUGCGUAGAUAUCGGAAGGAACAUCAGUGGCGAAAGCGGCUUCCUGGCCUGUUCUUGACGCUGAGGCGCGAAAGCUAGGGGAGCAAACGGG